AUUGAACGCUGGCGGCAGGCCUAACACAUGCAAGUCGAGCGGAUGAAGGGAGCUUGCUCCUGGAUUCAGCGGCGGACGGGUGAGUAAUGCCUAGGAAUCUGCCUGGUAGUGGGGGAUAACGUCCGGAAACGGGCGCUAAUACCGCAUACGUCCUGAGGGAGAAAGUGGGGGAUCUUCGGACCUCACGCUAUCAGAUGAGCCUAGGUCGGAUUAGCUAGUUGGUGGGGUAAAGGCCUACCAAGGCGACGAUCCGUAACUGGUCUGAGAGGAUGAUCAGUCACACUGGAACUGAGACGCGGUCCAGACUCCUACGGGAGGCAGCAGUGGGGAAUAUUGGACAAUGGGCGAAAGCCUGAUCCAGCCAUGCCGCGUGUGUGAAGAAGGUCUUCGGAUUGUAAAGCACUUUAAGUUGGGAGGAAGGGCAGUAAGUUAAUACCUUGCUGUUCUGACGUUACCAACAGAAUAAGCACCGGCUAACUUCGUG
rnacentral:rRNA from 1 species